GUCUAUCCUUCUCACGUCAGUAGGAGCGAGUUGGAUGGACUAUUUGUUUACACUUCGGCUUUAGCCUCAUAACAUUGUUUAGCUUGAAUUUACUUCUAAAAUGUAUUCAAAAUAAUUUGCCAUCGUUUUAAAAAUAUAACAAGAGACACAUAUUUUUCUGCCUAUUCACAUUGUUUGGCUUAAAGUAGCCUACAGACUUUUUCUAAAAAAAAAAAAUAUCUGCCAGACUUGCAGACUUUGCUGACACGAUGAACUGGAUGAACCCAGCCGCGGCGUCCGCUACGGCCGGGAAACGUCAAAACAAACCGCAAUCUCAACAAAGCAAUCGAAAAAUCUUGUGCGCAUCAGUUUUUUUAUGGUUUUUGUAGUUUAUCUUCAAAAAAAGGACUUUUCACUGCUUAGUGAAGUGAUUAGGAGGGGUUUCCGAGAGCUGUUUUUAAUGUUUGCUGUUUGCGAUUUCGACAGGCUGUAGUCCCGUGUCACGAACAUUUCGAGGGUUUGGUGAGCGAUCAGCGCACUCUUCCUGGAACCGACGUUGCUGAUGCUCAAAGAUUCGCCCGGAAACAGCAAAGUCCUAGAAGUCCAACGAAAACACAACAUACCGGUUGAGAUAAUGGCCAAGUUGCAGGUUUACUUCCGGAUUUGUCGAGCCUCCUUUAUUCGCUACCACUGCAGCCACCAGUUUAAGGGUUAUGACAAAUCAUCAACAUCCUGGACAGUAGUCGCUGUAAAUUCCUACUUUGGCAUUGAACCAACAAUUAGUCAACUUUCCUGUCGUGUACCGCAAGGACGGGUAACGACAAAGUACGACAAAUCUGAAAACGAACGGAACGUUCGGAUAGUCCAGUAGCGUGCACACCAUCAAAAUGGAGGACUGGUUUGGUGGUCAGAAGGCUCGCGCCGGAAGUCAAUCGUAGGACCUCCCUGUACGUCAUCGGGGACCAGAUCUUACGACGUCUUCGGCGUCAGUAACACCUGCAGAGUUAAUUAAGGCCACGUCCGUUCUUUUCUUACCCAGGCAUAAUUAGUUUAACUGGUGGAGAACAAACCUAAGGACAACCUGCUGCUGAAGAACUAAGUUUUCUCGAGCUUUCAGAACCGCACGCUGGACGACAUAUCGGCAUGUACUCUGUACAGCACAUUAAUUUGAAGGUGCAGCAUUUCUACAGUAGUAUCCUUGUAAGUGUGUUCCCCAGUCUUAAUGUCACUUUAAUAAUCAAUCUGAUUUAUAGUUGAAUUUGGAUUUCAUUGCUCCGUUGAAUCUUGAAUCUGAAUAUCGAUGUUUGUGUGCUCACUUGUAGCAUCAA